UGUUUGUUUGUUUUUGUUUUGUUUUGUUUUUUACCAUGGGGCAGUUUACUCAGCAACUGGCCUAAUGUCCUGAUGUCUGCUGAUGAGUUUCAUCCGUUUCAAAGGGGGAAACAGAUGAGCCCCAGUGGGGCUCAUUGAGAGGGCUUUAAACUGGAUAUGAAGGGGAGAGGGGUUAAAACCAGAUCCACUAGAGAUGGGCCAAGGAGAAUGAUGUUGGGACUGGGGGUGAGGCAAGCGGCUCACUGAAGUGCAUCUACAUCAGCGCACACAGCAUGGGCAACAAACAGGAGGAGCUGAAAGUCAUUGUGCAGCAGGCAAACUAUGACUUAGUUGCCAUUAUAGAAACAUGGUGGGAUUGCUUCCAUGACUGGAGUGCUGCAGUGGAUGGCUAUAAGCUCUCCAGAAAGGAUAGAUAAGGAAGGAAGUGUGGUGGUGUGGCUCUUUAUGUUAGAGAGUGUUUUGAUUUUGUUGAGCUUGAGGUUGAAUCUCUAUGAGUAAGGAUCAGGGGAAGGGCCAACAGAGCUAACAUCCUGGUGGGGGUCUGUUAUAGACCACCUAACCAGAAUGAAGAGGCAGAUGAGGCAUUCUGUGGUCUGGCAGAAGUUGUGCAAUUGCCAGUUCUUGUUCUCAUGGGGGACUUCAACUUUCCUGUUAUAUGCUGGAAAUAUAAUACAGUGUGGACUGGGAGGUUUCCAGAGUGUAUGAAAGAAAUCUUCCUGAAGCAGCUUAUAAGAGAGCCUACCAGGGUAGGUGCCCUGUUGGACCCACUGUUCACAAACAGAGAAGGACUGGUGAGAGAUGUGGACAUCCAGAGCUAUCUUGGACAGAGUGACCAUGAAACGAGAGGUCCUGGAGGAUUGGAGGCUUGCCAGCGUGACUCCCAUCUACAAAGGCUGUAAGUAGGAUCCAGGGAACUACAGGCCUGUCAUCCUGACCUCUAUGCCAGGUGAAAAACUACAGGAUAUCUGCUUCUGUCACAGGAGUAGAGAGAGUGAAGGGAAACAAGGGAGCUGGAAGGGAGUAAAAAGGAGAGAAGCCCUGGAAAACCGGAUAUCCCAGACCAGAUGCCGAAGAAAACCUGAAAUAUAUGAGGGUGACAAGUGUUUUUGUAUUGGGCUAAUACUCCUGGAACAGAUAUUGCUUAACAAUAGAAAUUGAAGGGGUAAUCAAAAGGAUUGCUUAAGAACGUGACUUCAUGUAACAGCUGCUCCAUCAGGAGAGUAAGUAUUUGAGAAGUUUCAGUCUUCAGCAUAGAUGUGAGCUGGGUGGUCCAUAGACACUGCAAAACAUUCAGGGAAAGAAUAAGGGAAAAUCAUAGCCAAAUACUUCAUAAACAGGAGAAAACUAUGAGACUAAAGAUUAUGAAAGAUUGCAUUCCUUUUGCUGAAAUUGAAUACUACUUAGAACUUAAAGAAAUUAAAGUUUGACCCUUACUAUUUUUGUCUUUUCUUCAAAGUCAAAUUUCUCAUGUUGGAGCACCUCAGAGACUGAGGAAUAUGAUGGGUUUGGGGUGUUUUUUUUUUUGUUUUUUGUGAUCUUACGUAACCUGGUAGUUUUGGCUAAUUCCACCUGUAUUGUUGGGCAUCCAAACAUUUUUAGAGACCUACAGUAAUGUUAUAGAAAGCAUAACAAGAUAGUAAAGCCUCAGGCUAUAGCAAGCGUGGAUCUGCUUAGAUGUGACAAUAGUAGGUGCGGAAAUAAUUAAAAAAAAAAAAAAGCCACAACUGAUUGCCUACAGAAAAACCUAUAAGAUCCUCUGGUAGGCAGGGAUCUCCAGAGGCACCACACUCACCUCCCCCUAUCAGUGCUUUAAAUGAAGUCUGGGAAGGGGUAGAUCUUGGCU